rnacentral:rRNA from 1 species
GCAUAUCAAUAAGCGGAGGAAAAGAAACCAACAGGGAUUGCCCUAGUAACGGCGAGUGAACAGGCAAGAGCUCAGAUUUGAAAGGCACUUUUGUGCCGUUGUAUUCUGAAGUUAGGGUCCUGAGAAACGAUGCUUAAGUCUUCUGGAAAGGAGCGCCAUGGAGGGUGAUAGCCCCGUCUAGCAUUGACCUCAUAUAGGAUCUUAACAUGGAGUCGAGUUGUUUGGGAAUGCAGCUCAAAUGGGUGGUAUGCUCCAUCUAAAGCUAAAUAUCUGCGAGAGACCGAUAGUAAACAAGUACUGUGAGGGAAAGAUGAAAAGAACUUUGAAAAGAGAGUGAAAAAGUACGUGAAAUUGUUGAAAUGGAAGGGUAGGCCGCUAACCAUGUAGAGCCGUGUUUGGGGGGAAGAUAAAUGCUGUAGAAUGUAGCUCCUCGGAGUAUUAUAGAUGCAGUUCAUAUUCCCACCCGAGCGCGAGGAUCUCAGGUU